CUUAAAGCUCAACUUUGAAAUUGCGUUAAAAACUGCUUGUCUUGAGUAUGGAAGGGGUAAAGGGAAUUCCCAGUGUAGCGGUGAAAUGCGUAGAUAUUGGGAAGAACACUAAACAGCGAAGGCACUUUACUAGGCUAAUACUGACGCUGAGAAACGAAAGGUAAGGUAGCGAAACGGAUUAGAUACCCGUGUACUCUUACCCGUAAACUAUGGACACUAAACGGUAAAUUUUUAAUUUACUGUUAAAGCUAACGCGUUAAGUGUCCCGCCUGGGGAGUAUGCUUGCAAAAGUGAAACUCAAAGGAAUUGACGGGGGCCCGCACAAGCGGUGGAGCAUGUGGUUUAAUUCGUCGGUACACGAAGAACCUUACCAGGAUUUGACAUGCUAGAUAGUUGCUUGAAGGAGUAACGUGCCGUAAGGAAUCUAGACACAGGUGGUGCAUGGCUGUCGUCAGUUCGUGUUGUGAAAUGUUGGGUUAAGUCCCGCAACGAGCGCAACCCUUGUCUUUAGUUAUUUUCUAAAGAGACUGCCUGUAAUAAACAGGAGGAAGGUAAGGAUGAGGUCAAGUCAUCAUGCCCCUUAUGUCCUGGGCUACACACGUGCUACAAUGGGAAAGACAAUGAGCUGCAAAUCUGUAAAUUUAAGCAAAUCUCUUAAACUUUCUCGUAGUUCGGAUUGUGGGCUGCAACUCGCCCACAUGAAGUUGGAAUCGCUAGUAAUCGCCAGUCAGCUAUAUGGCGGUGAAUCCGUUCCCGGGCCU
rnacentral:rRNA from 1 species